rnacentral:rRNA from 1 species
GACGAACGCUGGCGGCGUGCUUAACACAUGCAAGUCGAACGGAAAGGCCCUGCUUUUGUGGGGUGCUCGAUUGGCGAACGGGUGAGUAACACGUGAGUAACCUGCCCUUGACUUUGGGAUAACUUCAGGAAACUGGGGCUAAUACCGGGUAGGAGCUCCUGCUGCAUGGGGGGGGUUGGAAAGUUUCGGCGGUGGGGGAUGGACUCGCGGCUUAUCAGCUGGUUUGUGUGGUAGUGGCUUACCAAGGCUUUGACGGGUAGCCGGCCUGAGAGGGUGACCGGCCACAUUGGGACUGAGAUACGGCCCAGAAUCCUACGGGAGGCAGCAGUGGGGAAUAUUGCACAAUGGGCGGAAGCCUGAUGCAGCAGCGCCGCGUGCGGGAUGCCGGCCUUCGGGUUGUAAACCGCUUUCGCCUGUGACGAAGCGUGCGUGACGGUAAUGGGUAAAGAAGCACCGGCUAACUACGUG